rnacentral:sRNA from 1 species
GUCAAGCUGGCUUAGCUGGUUGCUUCACAGGGAGCAUCCUUACGCUCCUUCAGAAUUUCACUGAUGGGCUGAGUGUGGUGUUACAAAAGAGUGGGAAACAGAAGCCCAGGAUGCUGGCCGGCCCACAGGAGAGUGGAGGACAGCCGUGUACAGGAGGAACCUCUCACUGCACACAGCACAGUGCCAGUGACGAGCAGAAGGGAGGGCCCUUCGUGUUCCUAAAUAAGACAAGGUUACACAUUAAAAUUGUAAGCUCCACGGAUGGGGCAGAGAUCUAUGGCUGCUUAGUGCACUGCUGUGUCUUCAGAGCCUGGUGCACAGUAGGUGCUCUACGGAUGGUGCUUAAAUGACUAGAUGCGUGUCUUUCUGCAUUCCCACUAGCUAUCAAUGACUCUUUUGGGUAACUGCAGAAAACUCAUGGUAGGAUUCUCUUUUCAAAAGUCCUGGACCCCACCUUGAAUUCUUCAUGUUGAUUUGUCAUACUCUGUCCAAGUUUACUCUGAGGCUCCCGACAGCAAGGUUUGUCUUCUCAAUAAACUAAUGUAUUUUCUGUACUUCGUAGGAGCCAGGCAUGGGAAACCCAAAAUAGGAUAGCUAGUAGUCGCCUCCAUUCAGUCUAGGUUAAGGUUGGGGAACAUGAAUGACCAAACAGUUGGGAUGAGGACAUUCCUAAUUAGGCAUUCUGGACAGGAUGAUCCUACUUGAGAACAUUAGAGGCAGAGACUGCCCUGAACUGAUCCCAGCAGGGGACUUCAGGAUGUUGAGAAGACAAACCCAAAGGUCCAGGAGCUGGCAGCAUGCAGAGGAAGAGCUGAGCUCAGAGAGGCAGGCAGGUACCAUGUCUAAUCUUCCUGGGUUUCAGCUGAGCAGGGGGAAGAAGACUCUUGGUUGACAAGGAAGAGAGAUGAGAUGAUGCUACAGAGGGAGAACUAUGGUAUCGUGAGAAGAUUUUCAUGGCUUUUUGACUUGGUAGGAAGAGAUUAGGUCCUUCAUAUUGUUGAUGGGGAAGAAAUGGGGCACGGGAUGGCUUCAGACAUUUCUGACUCUUCCUUGCUUAGCCUGCUCCUCAGUGCCCACUGCACCAUGGGUCUGAAUGGUCUGUGAGGAAAAAUGAACACAUCUAGGUAUGUAUUCCUCCUACAGUGAUGCCUCUUGUCUGUCUGCUGAAAUGAGUGUGCCUGCGAGGGGAGACCAGGCUCAAGUCAUCUCUGCUCAAAUGUUCUGGUCUCCAUGCAAAGACGCACAGGAAGAAGACAAAUGGAGAAGAUGGCUUACUCCGUAGAUUUCUCGAAGACUAACUUUGAGAGAAGAAUGCCUUGGACAGUUGAGAACCCUAAUGCAUCUUUUUUCAGAGAGCAACACUUUCCCCAGAAGUAGCCCUUCAGAGUCCUGCCUUGAUCAUCAAAUGGUGCCUAACAUAAGGCAUCGGAGGGAUGCAGAAGGCUCAGCUAUGGUUGCUUUAAACCAAUCAGGUUUCACUACAUUGAUCCCCAUAUAGCACUGGAGUUUUGAUGAGCAAAGAAGGAGCAAAAUGGCCAAUGUGGGACUGGAGAGAUACUUAAUAGGUAAAGCACAUGCUGUGAAAACUUCAGGACCUGUGUUUGCUCCUGCAGCACUCAGACAAAAAGCCAGACAUGGUGGCACACGCUUACAAUCCCCGUGCUUAGGAAGCAGAGGUAGGAAAACCAAUGGGGUUCACUGGCCGGCCAGCAUAAGCCCAGGGCCGAGCAAGAGACACUCUUCAAAACCAAGGUGGAGUGCUUCUGAAGGACACUGAAGAGUGACCUCUGGCUUGGAAACUGGCACACACAACAGAAGCAGGGAAAGGGAGGAGAGAAACAGCCAUUAUGAGCAACUCAUUGGGUCUGCUUGCCCAACUCUCUGUGUAUGCUGACAUGCAAAAAUAUCUGCAUUAUUUGUCAAGACUUAUCAGCAGUCAUUCUGAACUGUUUCCACAUUAGACUGACCAGAGCUGAAUACAGUAGCCACAGGGGCAGCUCAGUGCCUCCCAUCAGCACCGACCGAGCUGAGCUGCCUGCUCCCCAUUGCUGGGUGUCCCACUGAUGACUGGUGGGCCUAGGGCAAGUUAGUUACCCUUCCUGCACCUCAAUUUGCUCACCUAAAAGUGGGGAUGAUAAUACUAUCUUUCUCAAAGGGUAGCAUAUAGGGUCCAUUUGGUUAUAGGCAUUUACUGUCAUUAUGUCCUGACAAAAAACGGGCACUGAAUGUAAUUCUUAAAACAACCCUCGAGUUGUGUGAUCUUAUAUUGAUUUUGCAGGUAAGAAGAUGAGUUUCCAAAGGAUUAAUAAAUCCCACAAAGUCAAAAGCUGCAGUGGGGUUUGAACCCAUCUGAAUCUGAAGUUUAGCUCUAAGAGGGCAUAUUCUCUCAUUUGAGAGGCUAACUUUUCUUGUCACAAAACAGUGACAAGUUCAGCUACAGGCCUCUGCACUACUGAGUUUCUGUAUGACUCCCUGUGCCCACAGCCUUGGUUAGAGAGCAUUGGCAACCCCUGAAACCACAAUAGCACCAGACGGAUCUCGGAAGCCCAGGUUCUACAAGCCACGUAAUUCAUUAUGUCCUUACAUGACACUGGAGCUUUCCUGGUCCCUGUGUGGUGUAGUUCUCCACACAUCAUUCUUGUUGGCCUUCCACAUGCAAUGGGCAAUCCUUGCUGUGUUUGCAAGUGUCUUCUUUCUAGAAAAGUCUUUGUGAUCACGGAUGGUGAGCAGCACAUCUGCUUUCUGGGUCUCAGAGUCUGAAUUAGUCUUGGGCAACAUUUGUCCCUGUGAGGGGUGUGUGUG